rnacentral:rRNA from 1 species
GAUGAACGCUAGCGGCAGGGCCUAACACAUGCAAGUCAGGGGUAACAUAGAAAAGCUUGCUUUUCUGAUGACGACCGGCGCACGGGUGCGUAACGCGUAUACAACCUACCUUUUAGCGGGGAAUAGCCCAGGGAAACUUGGAUUAAUGCCCCAUAGUAUAUAGACUUCUCCUGAAGUUUAUAUUAAACAUUUAUGGCUAUUAGAUGGGUAUGCGUCCUAUUAGUUAGUUGGUAAGGUAACGGCUUACCAAGGCAGCGAUAGGUAGGGGUCCUGAGAGGGAGAUCCCCACACUGGUACUGAGACACGGACCAGACUCCUACGGAAGGCAGCAGUGAGGAAUAUUGGACAAGUGGGCGAGAGCCUGAUCCAGCCAUGCCGCGUGCAGGAAGACUGCCCUAUGGGUUGUAAACUGUCUUUUACAGAGGAAGAACCACCCCACGUGUGGGGGUUUGACGGUACUCUGCGAAUAAGGAUCGGCUAACUCCGUG